AAUUAAGUUAUUUUGGCAGAUUAGUGUAUUAAAUUUAGAAUUUAAAAAAGUGGGGUUACCAUAAAUAAUA
rnacentral:tRNA from 1 species